rnacentral:rRNA from 1 species
GUGAACGCUGGCGGUAGGCCUAACACAUGCAAGUCGAACGGCAGCACAGUAAGAGCUUGCUCUUACGGGUGGCGAGUGGCGGACGGGUGAGGAAUACAUCGGAAUCUACUUUUUCGUGGGGGAUAACGUAGGGAAACUUACGCUAAUCCCCCAUACGCCCUACGGGUGAAAGCAGGGGUUUUUCGGCCUUUGCGCGUUUAAAUGACCCGAUGUCGGAUUAGCUAGUUGGCGGGGUAAAGGCCCACCAAGGCGACGAUCCGUAGCUGGUCUGAGAGGAUGAUCAGCCACACUGGAACUGAGACACGGUCCAGACUCCUACGGGAGGCAGCAGUGGGGAAUAUUGGACAAUGGGCGCAAGCCUGAUCCAGCCAUACCGCGUGGGUGAAGAAGGCCUUCGGGUUGUAAAGCCCUUUUGUUGGGAAAGAAAAGCAGCAGGUUAAUACCCCGCUGUUCUGACGGUACCCAAAGAAUAAGCACCGGCUAACUUCGUG